rnacentral:rRNA from 1 species
UACGUAGGGUGCAAGCGUUGUCCGGAAUCAUUGGGCGUAAAGCGCGCGUAGGCGGUCAGGUAAGUCCGGUGUGAAAGUCAUAGGCUCAACCUAUGAAUGCCGCUGGAAACUGCCUGACUUGAGUCCGGAAGGGGCGAGUGGAAUUCCUGGUGUAGCGGUGAAAUGCGCAGAUAUCAGGAGGAACACCAAUGGCGAAGGCAGCUCGCUGGAACGGUACUGACGCUGGAGGCGCGAAAGCCAGGGGAGCAAACGGG